rnacentral:rRNA from 1 species
UAGGGAAUCUUCCACAAUGGACGAAAGCUGAUGGAGCAACGCCGCGUGAGUGAAGAAGGGUUUCGGCUCGUAAAACUCUGUUGUUAAAGAAGAACAUAUCUGAGAGUAACUGUUCAGGUAUUGACGGUAUUUAACCAGAAAGCCACGGCUAACUACGUGCCAC